GGGGCCUCUAUGGGAGACCGUGGGCGGGUGUUGGUGUAUGUCGGUUGCAACAGAUGGCGCAGGAGCAGCUUUGUUUACAUCCAGGCGCCACCCCCCCUCCAGACCCACCCCCAACCCCCAGAACCCAUCAGCAGUGUUGCAACAUGGGAUCAAGCAGCAAAUGUUGCUACUUUUUUUCUUCAGUCUGGUUAUUUCCCAUUUUAAAUAAAAAAAUAAAGGUAGAUAAAUAUUAAAAUGAACAGCAGGAACUAUAUAUACUGUAUAUAUUUACUAGGUAGAUAUAACCUGACUGCAUGUCAUGAGUAAUGCUAUUAUUGUUAUAUUAUUAUACCGAAAUUAUAUUACUUUCUCUGCAUGUGUGGUUAGAUGUGUUUUAUGUGUUUAACCUUUCUGUAUAUAUAUACUGGAAUGAACCAAGGAAUUGUAGCCCUACUGCCGUUCUUUAAAACUAUGUAAUCAUGUUUUUCUUCCAAACUCAUUGUUUUAACACGCACGCUGACUUCCAUCAGUAAUGAUGAUAUAUAUUAAUUGAGUCAUUGGUUUGUAGGGGGAAAGAGUGGGUGAAUAUAAUUAUCUUGGUCUAACUUAUACUGUUUAUUAUAACGCUAUUCGUAGCAAUAUCUUUCUCUGCUCCGAUGGCAACGCUGCCUCGUUCAAAAAUCAUAACACCGCCGCGGCCGCCACGUUUACCAGCCGGAGCCUCAAAUCAUGUCCCUUUGUGGUGAUAAAGAGGACACAGCCUGGUGUGAAGCUACAUUUAUUACGGAAGGAUGCCAGCCGGGAUCCGAACACGUCCGAUAUCAUCCAAGAGAAUGUGGCAGCUGAAGGGGGAGAGUCCAAGAAAGAGGCCAAAGGUGAAGACAUUUAGCCACCCCCCCUGAAGUACAUGGCAGCAUUCAACCCUCUUGGUGAGCUGCAGGAAUGUGCUUCCCAUUGCAGUGCACCAGCUCCAUGUAUUGAUUUUGGGUGUGAACUUGAUGGGGUUGGAGGAAACUCGACUCGGCCAUCAAGCUCACCACAAUUAAUAUAACAUGAAAAGUGAAAAUUGCUGCACACAACAGUCUGCCGUCUGCACCGGGAGGCAAGGCAGCUCAAAGCCCAGGCUGUUACAACUCCUGGGCAGUUUUUGCCCAGAGCCAGCAAUUUUUUGGAUCCAAUAGGGAUGGAUUUUUUCUGAGGUCAGGUUCAACAUGCUGCAAGAUACCAAGAUCUAAGCCUAGUAGAAGAUAUGGGUUACAAGAGAGGAGGUUUGCUCUGGCCUUAUACUAUCAAAGUCCAAAUGCUAAUAGAUUUCUGAGCACAGUAUUUCACUUGCCUUCAGUUUCAACACUUCACUCAUGACUCAGGGGUAUUUCAGUACAUGUUGGCUGGAGCAAACAGACUCUGACAGCCCUGCAGCAAAGAGCACAGGCUUUGUCAAAAGAAGAGAAACUUUGUGGGAUUUGCCAUUAUUUAGGAUUACUCUUGUUACGCCAAGAAUUUUUUUCCAUAUACUUUGCCAAAUAUUGCAAGUAAUGCACCAUUGUUGGGCUUGCCUGUUAUAAAUCAGAUCUUGUUCAAUUAACAAGCUUUGGCUGUCUGCCACUUUCCAGUUGUAAUGCAAGGAAUCAUUUAUCUUCCCUGCCAGAUAUCACAUGUAAUGCACCAUUGUUGGUUUUGCCUGUUAUAAAUCAGAUCUUGUUCAGUUAACAAGCUUUAGGUGUCUGCCACUUUCCAAUUCUAAUGCAAGGAAUCCUCUGCCAGAUAUCGCAUGUAAUGCACCAUUGUUGGUCUUGCCUGUUAUAAAUCAGGUCUUGUUCAGCUCACAAGUUUUGAAUAUCUGCCAUUGCUUAUUUCAGGUGUAAUGCUUGGAAGCAUUUGUUCUCUUCCCUAGCCAUCAGUAUGCAAUGCUUUAUUGUGGAUUUUGCCUGUUAUAUUUAAUCUUGUUCAGGUAACAAGCUUUUGGUGUCUGCCUUACCUAAUAAUGUGCUGCAGUGACACUUGUCUUGGUUUCAUAAUGUAAAAUACAGCAUGUAAUUUCAUCACACUAAGUGUCUAUCAUCACAUGUCUGGCAUCAUGAAUGUGGCUUCCAGGAGUAAUCUUGCUUGUAUUACAGCAUGCAAUGUUUUUUCUGCUUUAUAUGAUAUACAUAAUCACAUAGGUGUGAUUUUUUUUUUUUUUUUUUUUUGACAAAAUGUAAUGGCAGUUAAUAUUCUUGACUAAUGCCUCAUAAACCUUGUGAAAAAUAAUGCUUUUUUGAAGGGGGGAGGGGGGGGGGCAGAGAGUGGUUUGUUUGGUUGGCCAGUUCAAGGAGUUUCAUAUCAAAUGAUUUUAUUACAUCCAACUUUAAUGUGUGCUAAAAACAUAUAUUUUAUUACAUCCAACUUUAAUGUGUGGUUCCUGCAAUAAAUGCUACAUGUUUACUGAUGUAGCCUAUGAAAUACAUAUCACUCUCUGCCCUGUAAUUUAAUUGGUGUGUCACAUACUGCAGCAUAACUUUCCUGCUAUUUUUUUACACUGAGUUGCCUUAUUUUGUCUCAUUUGCUUUUAUCAUAUGUGCCUCCGCUGCAUAGUUGUGCCUACUGAGCUUAAUAUCUUCUUGACCCUGACACCAAGGUCAGAGCUUGUGAGAUCAUAUCAUGUCCUACAUCUCAUUUUCACCUCCAGGCUCGGCUGUCUCCCAGGACCACCAAGUUAUUGCAUUCCAUUUAAGACAACUCAUGUGUUACCUUCUUGAUGUCCUCCAUCAUGUAUUUCAGAAUGUUUUAUGGUGCUUUGCUCUUAUAUUGAUGUGCCUUGCAACAUUUUUAUACAGUUUUCAUUGUAUAUAACGCACCAUUGUUGGUUUUGCCUGUUAUAAAUUGGGUCAUGUUCAGUUAACAAGCUUUGAGUGUCUCCCAUUGUUUAUUUCAGUUGUAAUGCUUAGAAGCUUUUGUUCUCUGCCCUGUCAAGCAGUAUGCAAUGCUUGCCAUUAUCUGGCACUUGUACAGUUAGUAUGAUAUUUUUGCUCAGCUAAGAGCAUGUUGCAAAAGGUAAAGGUACGGUUGGGGGCAUACGCUGUAGCAGCACGUGGCCUCAGUGCUCAUCUCUGUAACAUUGGCCCUUGAGCCCGUGGUGUUAGGGAACCCAUUACCCUGGGACACAGGACCAGUGUGACAUCCAGGUUACCACAGUUGCAAAGGCAUUAUAGUA